GUGGGGAAUUUUGGACAAUGGGCGCAAGCCUGAUCCAGCCAUGCCGCGUGCGGGAAGAAGGCCUUCGGGUUGUAAACCGCUUUUGUCAGGGAAGAAACGCGCUGGGCCAAUACCCCGGCGUAAUGACGGUACCUGGAGAAUAAGCACCGGCUAACUACGUGCCAGCAGCCGCGGUAAUACGUAGGGUGCAAGCGUUAAUCGGAAUUACUGGGCGUAAAGCGUGCGCAGGCGGCUUUGCAAGACAGAUGUGAAAUCCCCGGGCUCAACCUGGGAACUGCAUUUGUGACUGCAUGGCUAGAGUGCGGCAGAGGGGGAUGGAAUUCCGCGUGUAGCAGUGAAAUGCGUAGAUAUGCGGAGGAACACCGAUGGCGAAGGCAAUCCCCUGGGCCUGCACUGACGCUCAUGCACGAAAGCGUGGGGAGCAAACAGG
rnacentral:rRNA from 1 species